UACGUAGGGGGCAAGCGUUGUCCGGAAUCAUUGGGCGUAAAGCGCGUGUAGGCGGCCCGAUAAGUCCGCUGUGAAAGUCCAGGGCUCAACCCUGGAAUGCCGGUGGAUACUGUCGGGCUCGAGUCCGGAAGAGGCGAGUGGAAUUCCUGGUGUAGCGGUGAAAUGCGCAGAUAUCAGGAGGAACACCGAUGGCGAAGGCAGCUCGCUGGGACGGUACUGACGCUGAGACGCGAAAGCGUGGGGAGCAAGCAGG
rnacentral:rRNA from 1 species